CAACUCUMAACAACGGAUAUCUUGGCUCUCGCAACGAUGAUCAGCGUCGUUUUGACACAUCACUCCCAUACCUUUUGGUAUCAUGCAUCGAGCUAAAGGCUUGAUGCUGGGCGUGGAUCUGGCUUUCCCAGGGCAUCCCUGGGUUAGCUGAAGUGCAGAGGCUAGAGCACGGACCCUUAUGGGCGUCAACUGGAUAGGUAGCCCCCACGUAAGUGGAUCUACACGAAGUUGUCUGCCUGGGAAACGUGUUGGCGGCCAAACAGGAAACUACUCUCACUUCGACCUGAGCUCAGGCAAGAUUACCCGCUGAACUUAAGCAUAUCAAUAAGCGGUGGAA
rnacentral:rRNA from 1 species